rnacentral:rRNA from 1 species
AAUGAACGCUGGCGGCAGGCCUAACACAUGCAAGUCGAGCGAGGACUUCGGUCCUAGCGGCGGACGGGUGAGUAACGCGUGGGAACGUGCCCUUUGCUACGGAAUAGCCCUGGGAAACUGGGAGUAAUACCGUAUGUGCCCUUCGGGGGAAAGAUUUAUCGGCAAAGGAUCGGCCCGCGUUGGAUUAGGUAGUUGGUGGGGUAAUGGCCUACCAAGCCGACGAUCCAUAGCUGGUUUGAGAGGAUGAUCAGCCACACUGGGACUGAGACACGGCCCAGACUCCUACGGGAGGCAGCAGUGGGGAAUCUUAGACAAUGGGGGAAACCCUGAUCUAGCCAUGCCGCGUGAGCGAUGAAGGCCUUAGGGUUGUAAAGCUCUUUCAGUGGGGAAGAUAAUGACGGUACCCACAGAAGAAGCCCCGGCUAACUCCGUG